UCUCUCACAGCUCAGUCGGCAGAGCGCGGGGCUCUUAAUCUCAGGGUUGUGUGGGUUCGAGACCCGCAUUGGGCAGAA